rnacentral:rRNA from 1 species
CAGCCGCCGCGGUAAUACGUAGGGUGCGAGCGUUAAUCGGAUUUACUGGGCGUAAAGCGUGCGCAGGCGGCCCGUUAAGACAGGUGUGAAAUCCCUGGGCUCAACCUAGGAAUUGCGCUUGUGACUGGCGGGCUCGAGUACGGUAGAGGGGGGUGGAAUUCCUGGUGUAGCAGUGAAAUGCGUAGAGAUCAGGAGGAACACCGAUGGCGAAGGCAGCCCCCUGGGCCUGUACUGACGCUCAUGCACGAAAGCGUGGGGAGCAAACAGGAUUAGAUACCUUGGUAGUCCACGCCCUAAACGAUGGGUACUAGCCGUUUGGUGCGCGAUAGCGCUGAGUGGCGAAGCUAACGCGUGAAGUCCCCCGCCUGGGGAGUACGGCCGCAAGGUUGAAACUUAAAGGAAUUGGCGGG